GCCCCCGAACCAAACUGUGGCGUUUAUCGCCGCGUUCCCUUCUUGGGAUAGGUUCGGGGGUUUCC
rnacentral:ncRNA from 1 species